rnacentral:rRNA from 1 species
UGGCGGCGUGCCUAACACAUGCAAGUCGAACGAGAAAGUGGAGCAAUCCAUGAGUACAGUGGCGUACGGGUGAGUAACACGUGACUAACCUACCCUCGAGUGGGGAAUAACUUCGGGAAACCGAGGCUAAUACCGCAUAAUGUCUACGGACCAAAUGCGUAAGCAGCUUGAGGAGGGGGUCGCGGCUGAUUAGCUUGUUGGCGGGGUAACGGCCCACCAAGGCAAUGAUCAGUAGCCGGCCUGAGAGGGCGCACGGCCACACUGGAACUGAAACACGGUCCAGACUCCUACGGGAGGCAGCAGUGGGGAAUUUUGCGCAAUGGGGGAAACCCUGACGCAGCAACGCCGCGUGGAGGAUGAAGCCCCUUGGGGUGUAAACUCCUUUCGAUCGGGACGAUUAUGACGGUACCGGAUGAAGAAGCACCGGCUAACUCUGUGCCAGCAGCCGCGGUAAUACAGAGGGUGCAAGCGUUGUUCGGAAUUAUUGGGCGUAAAGGGUGCGUANGCGGUGCGGUAAGUCUUCUGUGAAACCU